CCCUUAGAUGUUCUGGGCCGCACGCGCGCUACACUGACGAAGUCAGCGAGCAUGUCCUACGCCGACAGGUGCGGGGAAUCUUGUCAAACUUCGUCGUGAUGGGGAUUGAUUAUUGAAAUUCUUGAUCAUCAACGAGGAAUUCCUAGUAAGCGCAAGUCAGCAGCUUGCGUUGAUUACGUCCCUGCCCUUUGUACACACCGCCCUUCGCUACUACCGAUUGAAUGGUUUAGUGAGAUCUUCGGAUUGGCGCCACUGCGGCUCAGCAAUGGGCUCGGUGGAUGCCGAAAAGUUGAUCAAACUUGAUCAUUUAGAGGAAGUAAAAGUCGUAACA
rnacentral:rRNA from 1 species